rnacentral:tRNA from 1 species
GCCGCUAGCUCAAUUGGCAGAGCAGCGGACUCUUAAUCCGCGGGUUCGGGGUUCAAGUCCCUGGCGGCGCA